GUCGAGCGAUCUUCUUCGGAAGAGAGCGGCGGACGGGUGAGUAACGCGUGGGUAACCUGCCCUGUACACACGGAUAACAUACCGAAAGGUAUGCUAAUACGGGAUAACAUAAGAAAUUCGCAUGUUUUUCUUAUCAAAGCUCCGGCGGUACAGGAUGGACCCGCGUCUGAUUAGCUAGUUGGUGAGGUAACGGCUCACCAAGGCGACGAUCAGUAGCCGACCUGAGAGGGUGAUCGGCCACAUUGGAACUGAGACACGGUCCAAACUCCUACGGGAGGCAGCAGUGGGGAAUAUUGCACAAUGGGCGAAAGCCUGAUGCAGCAACGCCGCGUGAGCGAUGAAGGCCUUCGGGUCGUAAAGCUCUGUCCUCAAGGAAGAUAAUGACGGUACUUGAGGAGGAAGCCCCGGCUAACUACGUGCCAGCAGCCGCGGUAAUACGUAGGGGGCUAGCGUUAUCCGGAUUUACUGGGCGUAAAGGGUGCGUAGGCGGUCUUUUAAGUCAGGAGUGAAAGGCUACGGCUCAACCGUAGUAAGCUCUUGGAACUGGAGGACUUGAGUGCAGGAGAGGAGAGUGGAAUUCCUAGUGUAGCGGUGAAAUGCGUAGAUAUUAGGAGGAACACCAGUAGCGGAGGCGGCUCUCUGGACUGUAACUGACGCUGAGGCACGAAAGCGUGGGGAGCAAACAGGAUUAGAUACCCUGGUAGUCCACGCCGUAAACGAUGAGUACUAGGUGUCGGGGGUUACCCCCCUCGGUGCCGCAGCUAACGCAUUAAGUACUCCGCCUNGGGAGUACGCUCGCAAGAGUGAAAC
rnacentral:rRNA from 1 species